CGUCUAUAUACGUAUAGCAUAUCAAUAAGCGGAGGAAAAGAAACUAACUAGGAUUCCCUCAGUAACGGCGAGUGAAGCGGGAAGAGCUCAAAUUUGAAAUCUUCAAGGUUCUACCUUGACGAAUUGUAGUUUAAAGAAGUGUUUUCUGUUGGAGUUUUGGUAAAAGUUCUUUGGAAUAGGACAUCAUAGAGGGUGAGAAUCCCGUAUUUGAUCACUUAUUCUACUAACGUUGUGAUACACUUUCAAAGAGUCGGAUUGUUUGGGAAUGCAGUCCAAAAUGGGUGGUAAAUUUCAUCUAAAGCUAAAUACUUGGCGAGAGACCGAUAGCGAACAAGUACCGUGAGGGAAAGAUGAAAAGAACUUUGAAAAGAGAGUUAAACAGUACGUGAAAUUGUCAAAAGGGAAGCGUUUGACACCAGUGUUGUUUUUCUCGAAAAUCAAUUAAGAAUGGCUGGGAUUUUAGUUGUCAUUGACCUUUAUAAGCUUGUCUGCCUUAUUUUUCUUAUCUUUUUUAAUGCACUUUUCGGUUAACAAGUCAACAUCAAUUUCUUUUGUUGUAAAAGAGUCAUUGGAAGGUGGCUUUACUUUCGGAGGAAAGUGUUUAUAGCCUUUGGCUUCUGCAAUCGGAGAGAUUGAGGUCUGCAGCGUAGAUCCUUCGGGGUUAGAUACAUUUGUGCUAAGUUAUAGCCUUUUCAUAGACAACUUGUUGACUAUGAUUAGUCAUUGUAGACUUACUCGCUGACUGCUAUUUUACCUACGCUUAGGAUGUUGAUAUGCAUGACUGAUAUA
rnacentral:rRNA from 1 species